CCAAGGCCUUCACACUGAGCUACAGCCCCAGACAUUUUUAUUUUGGGGGACAUCUUGCUAGGUUGCUAAGUUGCUCAGGGUGGGCUCGAACUCAAAAUCUUCCUACUUCAGCCUCCCAGAGUGCUGAUAUUAUGCAGAUUCCAGGGACCACUGUGGGUGGAGGUGCCAAGAGGCCAACAACGGGGACAGGGGCAGCAAAGUGGGCCUCAAGCAAGCUGACAUCCUGCUGGCCCAGACUGAGGCUUGGCGACUCCCAUCUCCCUCAGAACCCAGUUUGGAGCUGCUCCUCCUUGAUGAGGAGAAAGGCUAAGGGGUCUCAGCAAGCAAGAAAAGAAACAAAGACAAAACAUUAAAGGGGCUCCUGAGGCCCCAGCAUUAUUAAUGGCCCAUUCAAGCUGGGGAAAUCAAUAGCUGCUUAGAAAGAGUUUCAGGGAAGAGACACGUUUAGAUUAGAAAAAGGAAAAGAAACACUUGCUCUCCUCAGGAUGAGAGGCCCAGGCAGGGUCUCCCCAGCUGGGCAGUGUUUCUAGGCACUUUGGAUGACAUAUGCCAAGAAGGAGGGGCUGUGCGGAAGUAGCAAUUAACGACUGGAUUGAUUUCUUAAUCUAAUUUUCCCCUGCCUAUGUGGAGAUUCCAAAUUCCAAGAGAAAAUACAUUAUUUUCUAAAACAGAUUAGUAACCUUCUUUCCCAAAGCACUCAGAGAAUGAAAAAGGUUGUUAAAGCUCUAGGGACAAAUUGGAAAUGCUGGUACAGGACUUUUAGUUUGGCAGCAAGAGUAAAAGCCCUGCCGAUUCCAUGUGAUUCCAACACAUUUCUCAGGACCCUGAGGCCUGUUGGGCAGGGACACUUUCUGCUUUUGGCCAGGGGAGGUAAAGGUCAGCAUUAUCGGCCUGGUUUGGCAGCGAGGGGAUCAGGACACCUGACAGGGGUAUGAUCUGUCCAAAGGGACAUGAGGACAAUGUGAGACACUGAAGCAACCUUAAAAAAGAAAAAGGAAAAGCCAGUCUUCCCAACCUUAAUCAGUUCCCCCUCAGACUCCCCCAUCCUUACAACUGUUGUUAACUCUGUUCCUGUAAGAAAGGUUUUAUGACCCCUCGCUUCUAUAAGAUCCUGUUUCUUCCACCAAGAUAUGCUAAGUUGCAAAAGUGUCACUACUUGACUAACUGCCUUUGUCCUGCUCUGUCCAGUUUUGUACCAGUAGGUAGACCAACUCCUUCGACCACAGUUAUAAAACUAGAGCCCUUUUCUUUGUUCGGAGCUCAGCCUUUGGAGUCGAAUCUGCAGGGCUGGUGAGCACCUAAAUAAAUCCUCCUGUUUCACCCAUUGGUCUCUCCGAUCUCUUAAAUUCUGCAACAGCACAACUUCCUCACUCUCUGUCUUUUAGAUGAAGUUGUAGUCUCAGAACAGAAGCCGCUGUAAAGAACUUGCAUUAAGCACUAUCACUGGGGGUGAGGGGCAGAGUACUGUAGGCCACCGAGGGCUGUUCCUUCAGGAUCUGGAAACCCGUUUGUGUUUACUUCCUUCGUUCCUUUACCCCACAGCUGAGCACUCAUGUGUGGCCAGCCAUCCACAGAUCCAGCUCGGUCUCCUGGGCCUCCCAGUACCUUUGUCCAGAGUCAGGGUGUUGGCAUUCGCCCCAGUGCCCUGGCGUGGCUGUGUCAUGACCUAAUGCUACUUGAGUUCAAUUCCUCUUUGUUAAGAGCCUUCUAUGUGCUAAGUCCUGGGCAGGGUGCUGAGUCGUCACAUGAGGCUGCAUUUGGCAGAAAAGACAACCAUGUGGCACUAACUACUCCAGUGACUGUGGCCUUCAGUGACAUGUGGCUGCUGGUGGACUGAACAAGAGCACACAGCACUGAACUGAGGAGAGACAUCCCAGCUUUGUUAAGCCCCAGCUCUGUCACUCGUAGUUAUCAAACUUGGACAAGAUGAGGUGCUUUCCUAAAAGAAAGGGUUCGGUUUGGGACUAUGUUCUUCUUGGAAUCCAGUAACAAAUCUCAAGAGAACCCACUUGCAGGCCUGGGAGAGAUUAGGAGCUUCUCCAAACUUCCUCCUGCUGAGCACAUAGCCAAGACCGCUCCUCUCCUCACUCCAAAUAAAGGGGCAGAAAAUGCAGGUGCACCUGGGAGAGGUGGCACAUGUCUAUGAUCUCAGCACUGGGGAGGCUGAGGCAUGAAAAUCGCUGUGAGUUAGAGGCCAGCCUGGACUACAUAGUGAGUUGAAGGCUAGCUGAACUACAUAGUGAGAACCUGUCAAGAAAAAAAAAGAAAAAAGAAAGAAAAUGCAGAUGUGGCCCCAGAUGGUCUGGCCAGUCUCCUGUGCACAGGAAAGGGAGCGAUGGAGCUGCAGGUGGCCAGGAGAGAUGAAACAAGCCCAAGAAUGGUGUGUAUUGUCUCCUGGUAUUGUCCUCAUACUGACCCCUACACACCUGUCCACAGGGCGGUGGUGAUUUGAG
ensembl:lncRNA